AUACAGCUGAAGAGUCUCAGAUAGGACGAAACACGCGUCCUGGAU
rfam:Schistosoma mattheei strain Denwood, Zambia genome assembly, scaffold: SMTD_scaffold0003865